rnacentral:rRNA from 1 species
UGGGGAAUCUUGGACAAUGGGCGAAAGCCUGAUCCAGCGACGCCGCGUGGGUGAUGAAGGCCUUCGGGUUGUAAAGCCCUGUUGAGGGGAAAGAAAACGGUGGGAACUAACAGCUCCCGCCCUUGACGGUACCCCUCCAGAAAGCACCGGCUAACUCUGUGCCAGCAGCCGCGGUAAGACAGAGGGUGCAAACGUUGCUCGGAAUUACUGGGCGUAAAGCGCGUGUAGGCGGGCCGAUAAGUCAGACGUGAAAUCCCUGAGCUCAACUCAGGAACUGCAUCUGAAACUGCCGGUCUAGAGUGGUGGAGAGGGAAGCGGAAUUCCUGGUGUAGAGGUGAAAUUCGUAGAUAUCAGGAGGAACACCGGUGGCGAAGGCGACUUCCUGGACACCAACUGACGCUGAGACGCGAAAGCGUGGGGAGCAAACAG